AUACGUAGGGGGCAAGCGUUAUCCGGAUUUACUGGGUGUAAAGGGAGCGUAGACGGAAGGCCAAGUCUGAUGUGAAAGCCCGCGGCUCAACUGCGGGACUGCAUUGGAAACUGGUCAUCUGGAGUGCAGGAGGGGUAAGCGGGAUUCCUAGUGUAGCGGUGAAAGGCAUAGAUAUUGGGAGGAACACCGGUGGCGAAGGCGUGUUGGUGGUCCGCUCUGGUCACUGAGGCGAGAAGGCUAGGGGAGAGACGGGUAUUAGAUACCGGUUGAGCCCGAGGCGUAAGAAAGGGGCACGGGGUGUUGGGGGUAUCGCCCCCGGCAGUGCCGACGCUAACGCAUUAAGUGCCCCGCCUGGGGAGUACGACCGCAAGGUUAAAACUCAAAUGAAUUGACGG
rnacentral:rRNA from 1 species